rnacentral:RNase_P_RNA from 1 species
GCUAGGAAGCGUGGUGACGCCACGUUCAGUUACAUGAACGUGGAGGAAAGUCCAGACUGCUGAAAGCAGGGUGCCCCGCGCAAGCGGGGGUGCUCGGUAAGCAUGGUUACCGGCAACAGUGAAGCCACAGAGACGAGCGAUGUGAAACGGCUCCGAUACCAACGUCAUCGGAGACUAGGGUAAUUCUCCCCGCAGCAACUUCCGACCUGGCCGUUAUCAGGCGCUUUCCCGAGGCCAAAAGAUUGAAGGCAUUAGACAGAUGUCACCUUAAAACAGAAUCUGGCUUACUGCUUCCUAGCGUUU